UGCCUCUCCCUUCUCUCUCUGUGAUGGUGUUAGGUCACCUCAACACGAGCUGGAGUCCUUUUAGGAGAGAGCACCUCAACUGAACAAACGCAGCUGCUAAGCUGGCUUGUGCUACAUUUUCCUGAUGGGCAAAUCAUGGGGGAGGACCCAGCUCUCGGUGGGUGGGGUGGAGCCACCCCUGAGCAGGCGCUGUAAGAAAGUGGCUGAGCAAGCUGCUGGGGACAAGCCAGGAAGCAGCUCUCCUCUACGGCCUCCACAUCAGCUCCUGUCUCCCGGUUCCUGUUCUGACUCCCCUCCAUGAUAGAUCUGCUUGGGACAUGACAACCCUCACCUAUGCAGCAAGCUCUGGCACAGGCUCCCCUCCUACACCCCAGCUUUUCUCACGUGCAUGGAGGAUGAAUGGCAAGGAUGGAUGCACAAUGAAGAGCGGGGGAAGCAGGAUCUACGUGGCAGCCACAAGAGGCUUUUGAGAGAAGCAUGUCCUGGCUGCUGCCACCGUCAGGUCACUGCUCCAGGUGGCUGGGGGUCAGCUCCUGUGGCCAGUGACUAAACAUGGAAGUGAUCAUCUCUCUACUGCUAAGGCAUGCUCCUCAAAACUCCUCCGGCCACUGUGGUGUUCCGUCUCCUCUGCUGGGGAUGAACCAAAGCUGAACUCUGGUGGCUUCCCUCUGGCCUGCUUCUUGUGGUGACCGUAUUGUUCCAACGUUGCUUUCUGAAGCACAGGCAGGAGCCGACGCUGAACACCACCUGGAUCCCUGACCGCCUAACUGUACAUUUGGAUCGUCGCGCUUGCUGCUCCCAUGAGGCCCACGGCCCAUCUUACCUCCCGGUCUAGGCCUGCUGCCACUGUCACG